rnacentral:rRNA from 1 species
GACAGAGGGGGCAAGCGUUGGCCGGCUUUACUGGGCGCAAAGGGCGCGGAGGCGGUCUGCGGCGUCGGCGCUGAAAGCGCCCCGCUUAACGGGGCGAGGCGUGCCGAUACGCGCAGACUUGAGGCGAGCAGAGGGUGGUGGAAUUCCGGGUGGAGCGGUGAAAUGCGUAGAGAUCCGGAGGAACGCCAGUGGGGAAGCCGGCCACCUGGGCUCGUCCUGACGCUGCGGCGCGACCGCGUGGGGAGCAAACCGG